GGGGAUUUAGCUCAGUGGUAGAGCGCUUGCCUAGCAAGCGAUAGGCCCUGGGUUCGGUCCCCAGCUCCG
rnacentral:tRNA from 1 species